rnacentral:rRNA from 1 species
UACGGAGGGAGCUAGCGUUGUUCGGAAAUACUGGGCGUAAAGCGCACGUAGGCGGCGCAGCAAGUCAGGGGUGAAAUCCCGGGGCUCAACCCCGGAACUGCCCUUGAAACUGCAGUGCUAGAAUCUUGGAGAGGCGAGUGGAAUUCCUGGUGUAGCGGUGGAAUGCGCAGAUAUCAGGAGGAACACCGAUGGCGAAGGCAGCUCGCUGGGACGGUACUGACGCUGAGGCGCGAAAGCGUGGGGAGCAAACAGG